rnacentral:lncRNA from 1 species
UGGCGCAGGGGCAGCGCAAGUUCCAGGCGCAGAAGCCAGCGAAGAGCAAGGCGGCGGCGGCGGCGGCCUCGGCGCGGAACCGGGGCCCGAGGAAGGGCGGUCGCGUUAUCGCACCCAAGAAGGCACGCAUCGUGCAGCAGCAGCAGCUCAAGAAGAACCUGGAGGUUGGGAUCCGGAAGAAGAUUGAGCAUGAUGUGGUGAUGAAAGCCAGCACCAGCCUGCCCAAAAAGCUGGCGCUUUUGAAGGCCAGCACCAAGAAGAAGGAGGCCUCCUCCUCCACCAAGAUGCCUGCCUAAGGAUGCGCCCCAGCAGUGACCACCACUGCAGCCCCCUCCUCUGUGCUGAGACCUGUGCAGGUAACCCCACGGGAAAGAGGAACUGUGCUCUCCAAAGACUUGAAUUGCACCUCGAACUUGACUGGGCCCUGGCCCAUGAGCCAGUGAGUAGCAGGUCAGAAGCACACUGACGGACUGGCUUCGUAGGUGCCGAGGUCUUUGAACAGGCCAAGGCCAGGGGGAUCUUUUCACUGACUUCCUGUGUCCCCACUACCCCCUCCCACAUCCUGUCUGGAUAACUUGGAGCAAGACACCUGACUUUGUCAUUCCUCCCAUGGUCACAUGCUCCUGUGAGCAGGCCGUGCUGGGGCCUCAGGCCAGGUGCCUGGACCGCCCAGCCAGCCCCAGUUUACACACAAGCCGCAUGUCCAGCUAUGACUACCGAAUGAUUUCAUCAACCCAUUUUGGAGUCUUUCUUUUUGUAUUUCAGUAUAACAAUCUUAAUCUUCCCUGCGGGCAGUGAACAAGACUCUUGGGGAGAGAUGGAGAACAAGGAAAUGCAAAUGAGAAAAGCAUCCUGAUGACAGUUUAAGGAUGACUGUGCCAUACCCUUAAGGACGCUGUGGAGGAUGAAGCUUCUGGAGCAGGUGAGAAGUAAGAAGCAAGCAGAAGUCUUGCCCCCAAAGGUCUUGCUCCACAGAGCCGGAGGGGCACUCUGUGUAGGAUCCCAGGCUUCACUCUUGGAUCUGUGUCACGUUGAAACAUGGGACCUUUUUCAGCACCAGGUCCCAGGGAUAAGGCUCCUCUAGUAGCCAUUCACACUUUUUUCACAGCACCAUCAUCCUUAGCAUUAGAAAAAAUUAUGUAUUUAUUUUGGCUGUGCUGGGUCUUUGCUGCUGCAUGGGCUUCUCUCUAGCUGUGGUGCACAGGCUUCUUAUGGCGAGGCCUCUCUUGUUGUGGAGCACAGGCUGCAAGGCAUGUGGGCUUCAGCAGUUGUGCCUCCCAGCUUUGAGAGCACAGGCUCAAUAAUUGUGCAGGGGUUUAGUUUUGGGACUCUUCUCAGACCAAGGAUCAAACUCUCUCCCUGGUUUGGCAGGUGGAUUCUUUGCCACUGAGCUUCCAGGGAAGCCCCAUCCUUAGCA